rnacentral:rRNA from 1 species
AACAUGUGAAUUAUUUGGCAGCUAACUAUCGUUGCUGUGCACCCGUCCAUCUGUUGCAUGAAAUACUCAUUGGAGACUAGUUACUUCGGCGGACGGGAGAUCAAUUGGGCGCAGCUCUGUGCCAAGGAACAUAUGCAGCAUGAGCGUCGACAGCAUAUCCUAAAGCGUUUGUUUGUGGAAGUGUCGCUUGCUUCUUAAAAUUAUAGGACUCUCGGCAAUGGAUAUCUUGGCUCUCGCAUCGAUGAAGAGCGCAGCGAAAUGCGAUACGUGGUGCGAAUUGCAGAAUCCCGUGAACCAUCGAGUUUUUGAACGCAAGUUGCGCCCGAGGCCAACUGGCUAAGGGCACGUCCGCCUGGGCGUCAAGCAUUACAUCGCUCCACUUGACAGCCAACAUCAAUGCAACGCGUUGGUGUUGUCUCGGAUGCGGAGAGUGGCCCGUCAUGCGUCGUCGUGUGGCGGGUUGAAGAGUGGGAUGAUUUUCUCUUGGCGAUGAUCGAUAAAUGGGUGGGAUGGAAGCCCCAGUUGAUCCCUCAUCAUCGUAUACUUUCGCCUUGAGAAAGCCGUACAAAUCUCGGGCUAACCCGACUCAAGUGUUGUUCGAAGACAAUUGAAAUGCGACCCCAGGAUGGGCGGGGUGACCCGCUGAGUUUAAGCAUAUCAAUAA